UACGUAGACCUCAAGCGUUAUCCGAAUUUAUUGGGCGUAAAGCGUGUGUAGGGGGUUUCGUGCGUCUUUGGUUAAAGCCCACCGCUCAACGGUGGAAGUGCCAAGGAUACGACGAGACUUGAGGAGGUUAGAGGUUCGCGGAAUGCACGGUGUAGGGGUGAAAUCCGUUGAUAUCGUGCAGAACACCGAAGGCGAAGGCAGCGAACUGGGACCUUCCUGACCCUGAGACACGAAAGCGUGGGGAGCAAAAAGG
rnacentral:rRNA from 1 species